rnacentral:rRNA from 1 species
UACGUAGGUGGCAAGCGUUGUCCGGAUUUAUUGGGCGUACAGGGCGCGCAGGCGGUUCGUUAGGUUCGAGGUGAAAUCUCUUGGCUCAACUGGGAGAGGUCUUCGGAUACCGGCGGACUUGAGGAGAGCAGAGGUGAGUGGAAUUCUGGGUGUAGUGGUGAAAUGCGUAGAUAUCCAGAGGAACACCAGUGGCGAAGGCGACUCACUGGGCUCCACCUGACGCUGAGGCGCGAAAGCUAGGGUAGCAAACGGG